AAAAAAUAAUAAUAACGCAAAACGAAAUAGAAGACUGACAUUGUGUACUUUACAAUAGUUUGCAAAAAUAAUUUCGAUUCCAACAAAUCACGGCUUUUGACUACCGAACAUUCAGUUUUCUUGUUUACAAUCAAAGACAUUGGGUACAACUACUACUACAGUAGUCUGACGAACAUUGACAAAAGAUUGCAUUUAGUUAAAAAACAUGUUUUUGAAGACUACAAAGACUACAUGACUUCUGGCAUAUACAUGAGGUCUAUACGUGCACGAUAACCGAAUUUCGAUUAAACAUUUUUCUCGUCAGAAGCAUCCAGAACUAUAAUAAUAUAACAUCAGAAGUACCGA